UUCCGGUUGAUCCUGCCGGACCCGACUGCUAUCAGAGUGGGACUAAGCCAUGCGAGUCGACGUAGCAAUGCGUGGCGAACGGCUCAGUAACACGUAGUCAACAUGCCCAGGGGACGUGGAUAACCUCGGGAAACUGAGAAUAAACCACGAUAGGUCACGAUUUCUGGAAUGGAUCAUGGCCUAAAUCUACAUGGCCCCUGGAUUGGACUGCGGCCGAUCAGGCAGUUGGUGAGGUAAUGGCCCACCAAACCUAUAACCGGUACGGGCUCUGAGAGGAGAAGCCCGGAGAUGGGCACUGAGACAAGGGCCCAGGCCCUAUGGGGCGCAGCAGGCGCGAAACCUCUGCAAUAGGCGAAAGCCUGACAGGGUUACUCUGAGUGAUUUCCGCUAAGGGGAUCUUUUGGCACCUCUAAAAAUGGUGCAGAAUAAGGGGUGGGCAAGUCUGGUGUCAGCCGCCGCGGUAAUACCAGCACCCCGAGUGGUCGGGACGAUUAUUGGGCCUAAAGCAUCCGUAGCCGGUUCUGCAAGUCUUCCGUUAAAUCCAGCCGCUCAACGGAUGGGCCGCGGAGGAUACUACAGGACUAGGAGGCGGGAGAGGCAAGCGGUACUCAGUGGGUAGGGGUAAAAUCCUUUGAUCCAUUGAAGACCACCAGUGGCGAAGGCGGCUUGCCAGAACGCGCUCGACGGUGAGGGAUGAAAGCUGGGGGAGCAAACCGGAUUAGAUACCCGGGUAGUCCAG
rnacentral:rRNA from 1 species